GAUGAACGCUAGCGAUAGGCUUAACACAUGCAAGUCGAGGGGCAUCACAUGAGUAGCAAUACGAUGGUGGCGACCGGCGCACGGGUGAGUAACACGUAUGCAACCUGCCCAUAACUGGGGAAUAACCCGUCGAAAGGCGGACUAAUACCGCAUAACAAUGAUUGUCUGCAUGGACGAUUAUUUAAAGAUUUAUCGGUUAUGGAUGGGCAUGCGUUCCAUUAGAUAGUUGGUAGGGUAACGGCCUACCAAGUCUACGAUGGAUAGGGGUUCUGAGAGGAAGGUCCCCCACACUGGUACUGAGACACGGACCAGACUCCUACGGGAGGCAGCAGUGAGGAAUAUUGGUCAAUGGUCGGGAGACUGAACCAGCCAAAUCGCGUGAAGGAUGAAGGUAUUAUGUAUUGUAAACUUCUUUUGUCAGGGAAUAAAGUGCAUCACGUGUGAUGUUUUGUAUGUACCUGAAGAAUAAGGAUCGGCUAACUCCGUGCCAGCCGCCGCCGUAAAAC
rnacentral:rRNA from 1 species